AACGGCCCUACCAUGCUGAAUAUACCGGUUCUCGUUAGAUCACCGAAGUCAAGCAUCAUUGGGCGCGGUCAGUACUUGGGUGGGUGACCACCUGGGAACACCGCGUGCCGUU
rnacentral:rRNA from 1 species